rnacentral:rRNA from 1 species
UGGGGAAUAUUGCACAAUGGGCGCAAGCCUGAUGCAGCGACGCCGCGUGGGGGAUGACGGCCUUCGGGUUGUAAACUCCUUUCGCUAGGGACGAAGCUUUUUGUGACGGUACCUAGAUAAGAAGCACCGGCUAACUACGUGCCAGCAGCCGCGGUAAUACGUAGGGUGCGAGCGUUGUCCGGAAUUACUGGGCGUAAAGGGCUCGUAGGUGGUUUGUCGCGUCGUCUGUGAAAUUCCGGGGCUUAACUCCGGGCGUGCAGGCGAUACGGGCAUAACUUGAGUACUGUAGGGGUAACUGGAAUUCCUGGUGUAGCGGUGAAAUGCGCAGAUAUCAGGAGGAACACCGAUGGCGAAGGCAGGUUACUGGGCAGUUACUGACGCUGAAGAGCGAAAGCAUGGGUAGCGAACAGG